AACAAAUAAGGGAACACGAAAUCACACCCCAAAACAGUCCACAAAUCACAACAAAUCGUGGACCAAAUGGGACCUCUCUCGGAUUCACUAUCUAGAAAAAGAAAGAAGAGGAUACAAGGUGUUAAUACACCAAAACAACCAGCCUACAACAAGUUUAGCAACACAAGAUAAAGCUCCACAAUAUUACAAUAGCAACAAGAACAAAUGGCUUACAUUAACAACACAAGAAGCCAAAACUAAAACAAGAUACAAGAUAGGUAGUUAGACAAGUGUUGAUGUAGUCUUAACAACCCAAGAGCAUAUUCCACUCUUGGACCUUUAAAACUUCACACAAAAAACACCUAGCUCUUACAAUUGACACAAGAGAGGCAUCCACCACCCAAGCACCAACGUAUCAAGCAAAAUGCAGCACACAAGAGAAUCCACCCUUAUGUUAUGCCUUAGUUUCAAUUGGACUCUCUCUCACUCUAAGAGAAUUAUUCUUCAAUAAUAAUGAUCAACUAAAGAAAUAAACCCUACAAUGUUCUAUUUAUACUACAUUACAAUAAUAGACAAAAUGACAAAAGGGCCCUUUAGUGACUAAUCUUCAAAAAUACUCAAAAGUGUCACGAUCAUGAUCAUACUUGUAUCAUCCUUUCCAUCUUAAGAGGAAUUUUCCCACAAAUUCAUAACCUCACCUCUUUUACAAAGGCACUUCACAAUCUCCUUCACACGGCCACACAUCUUCUAUAUCUUCCUCGCCUUGCAUUUUAACCUCUUUUUUCUCUCUAUCUUAAGGCUUGCCAUCAACCUUAGCCGAUUCAAUUACUACUUCUUCCCCAAGACAGUACAAUAUUCCCUCCCUUAGGAUCACGUUCCUCCAGUUUGGGCACUCACUAGCCUUGUGCCUCCACCCUUGGAAUUUGAAACAUUGAAAUCCCUUGGGAUUAGAAGUAGAAUUCAAUUUACCUUCAUACCUUAGAGGAUGUUUUUGGACAACCUUGGUGGCCUCGGGUUGGGUAGCCAUGAAUGAGUUAUCUUUGAGCUCCCUCUCAACCUCUAAAACCGCAUGGAAGAUGCCAUCUAUGGUGUUGAAUUUUUGAAGCGUCAUGCGAGUAGAGAUGUCCUUUUUUAACCCAACCUUGAAGCAUACAAUGUCAUGACUUACUUGCUCGUCUCAGUGGUUAAGUUUCAACAUCAAUUGUUGAAAUUCAUCGUAGUAAGCCAUGACACUCUUGUUCCCUUGCCUCAAAUUGUACAAUUUAGCAAGGAGCUCAUGCCUAGAUGUCUCGGGCAAGUACCUUUGUCGUAUAAGUUUCUUCAAUCAAAACCAAGGAGGAGGUUGUCCCCCAAUCAUCUCAUUCCCAAACCGUUUAACAUGCUCCCACCAUGUAUUAGCAUACCCUUCGAAGUGAGCUAUAGCAUAAAAACUUUUUUUUCUUCAGUGAGAUCAUUAAGUUGGAAGAUCUUGUCACAAGAUGACUCCCAUGCAAGGUAGGCUUCGGGAUCACUCUUACCUUUGAAAAUGAAAAGGCUCACUUUGAUGGAAUUGAGACCUAUAUCUUGGUUUGGGAGGCCAUCUCUCACCUCAUGUCCUAACUCCCCAUGUCUAUACCUCAUUCUUUUUUCCCUCAAGUAAACAUCAUCAUACGGAUCGUAACCAUCAUGUUGUCCUCCCCUACCAUAUCCCUCAACAUGGAUGAGUCUAUUUGGGUUAAGUGGAGCUUGUAGUGGCGGGAUUGGAUUUGGAUAGUUAGGUCCUUGGUCAAGUGAAGUUUGGAUGGGAGGGUUCGGGUUUGGUGAUGGUAUUUGGGUUCCAAGCCCUUCUGGUUGGACUUGGUGGAGUGGAGGAUGGCUUGGUCUAUCUUGUUCUCGGCUUCGGGAGUAAAGAUUGGUUUGAUUUAUGGCAAUUGGUGUAUAGUCCAUUUCGUGCAAGGUCUUAGGAGUAUUAGUUGGGGAAAUGUUUUAAGGGUUAGAAGGUCGACUCCUUUGGCUUUCCACACGUUCUAAUCUCCCACUCAUUGAUGCCACAUCCGUAUCUAAUUUCUCAAGACCCAUAUUCAACCUAGCCACAUCUCGGGACAUAGAUUCAAGGCGAGCCAAAAUGAGAUUGAUGGCAUUAUUAUCCAUUGUUUGAGCAUUUGAAGCCUGGGGUUCCAUUAUGGUGGUAUCAAAAAUAACCCUUCAAGUUAUGGUCCAAUUAAGAUACGAAAUCAGUCCGCAACGUCACACACAAAAAGAGAAUGCAAAUCCUACAACACAAAACACACGUUAUUUCAAAACAACCUCCCACAAUGAGAUCCCACCUUCAAGUUUCUUCAAACUCAAGCUCAACAUUGGUGGAUGACUCAAAUAACCUCGAAUUUAGCUCAAAUUCAAACCCUAUGCUCCUAUAGUGUUAGAGAACACAAAUCUAACACUAAAAACACAAGAAAAAUACAAAAUCAAAAACUCAAAAUUUGACCUAGGGUCAAAAACGGGUUUAGUAUAUUUUGGGAAGAUUUUCGAUUUUGACAUUUCUUUUUUUUGUUGGGAUAUUUAAUUUCUGUACUCUAAUAUUCUUAGUGAACAAGAUCUAACACCAGAAACACACAAAAAAUCAAGUUUUUUGAAAGAUCUUAAAAACGUGAACAAUAACUUUUUUUUUUCAAGAUAACAAGCCCAAGAUUGAUUUUGUUGGAACAAAAUCAAACCUUUCUUUGAUACCAAAUGAUAUGGAAUAAACAAGGGAACAUGAAAUCACAGCCCAAAACAGUCCAAAAAUCACAACAAAUCGUGGACCAAAUGGGACCUCUCUCGGAUUCACUAUCUAGAACAAGAAAGAAGAGGAUACAAGGUGUUAAUACACCAAAAUAGCCAGCCAACAACAAGUUUAGCAACACAAGAUGAAGCUCCACAAUAUUAUACAAUAGCAACAAGAACAAACGGGUUACAUUAACAACACAAGAAGCCGAAACUAAAACAAGAUACAAGAUAGGUAGUUAGACAAGUGUUGAUGUAGUCUUAACAACCUAAGAGCAUAUU
rnacentral:lncRNA from 1 species